UACGUAGGGGGCAAGCGUUGUCCGGAUUUAUUGGGCGUAAAGAGCGUGUAGGCGGCUAGGUAGGUCCGUUGUGAAAACUCGAGGCUCAACCUCGAGACGUCGAUGGAAACCAUCUAGCUAGAGUCCGGAAGAGGAGAGUGGAAUUCCUGGUGUAGCGGUGAAAUGCGCAGAUAUCAGGAGGAACACCGGUGGCGAAGGCGGUUCUCUGGGCAUGUCCUGACGCUGAGGAGCGAAAGUGUGGGGAGCGAACAGG
rnacentral:rRNA from 1 species